AUUGAACGCUGGCGGCAGGCCUAACACAUGCAAGUCGAACGGUAACAGAAAGCAGCUUGCUGCUUUGCUGACGAGUGGCGGACGGGUGAGUAAUGUCUGGGAAACUGCCUGAUGGAGGGGGAUAACUACUGGAAACGGUAGCUAAUACCGCAUAACGUCGCAAGACCAAAGAGGGGGACCUUCGGGCCUCUUGCCAUCGGAUGUGCCCAGAUGGGAUUAGCUAGUAGGUGGGGUAAAGGCUCACCUAGGCGACGAUCCCUAGCUGGUCUGAGAGGAUGACCAGCCACACUGGAACUGAGACACGGUCCAGACUCCUACGGGAGGCAGCAGUGGGGAAUAUUGCACAAUGGGCGCAAGCCUGAUGCAGCCAUGCCGCAUGUAUGAAGAAGGCCUUCGGGUUGUAAAGUACUUUCAGCGGGGAGGAAGGGAGUAAAGUUAAUACCUUUGCUCAUUGACGUUACCCGCAGAAGAAGCACCGGCUAACUCCGUG
rnacentral:rRNA from 1 species